UACAGAGGGUGCGAGCGUUGUCCGGAAUCACUGGGCGUAAAGGGUGCGUAGGCGGAGCGGUAAGUCGGGUGUGAAAUCUCGGAGCUUAACUCCGAAACUGCAUUCGAUACUGCCGUGCUUGAGGACUGGAGAGGAGACUGGAAUUUACGGUGUAGCGGUGAAAUGCGUAGAUAUCGUAAGGAAGACCAGUGGCGAAGGCGGGUCUCUGGACAGUUCCUGACGCUGAGGCACGAAGGCCAGGGGAGCAAACGGG
rnacentral:rRNA from 1 species